AUGUCUGCUUAAGUGGUAGCGGUCUCUGUGCGUUGGGUCCCUCAGGGCCCAGCCCAUGACUUUGGGGCAAAAAAAAAAAAAGGUCCGGUAAAAAAGUAUGGUGUGAGAUGUCGUGGGGUCAUCCUUCGGUUGAACUUAUCUAUCCAGCGUGUGGGGCUUGCUGCCUUGAACCUCAUGGCCGUUUGGUCCAGCUGCAGGUUUCAGGUCUCUCUGUCCGCUUGUGCU